rnacentral:misc_RNA from 1 species
CCGAGUUUACACUCCCAAACCCCUGUGAACAUACCUUAAUGUUGCCCUCGGCGGAUCAGCCCGCGCCCCGUAAAACGGGACGGCCCGCCAGAGGACCCAAGCUCUAAUGUUUCUUAUUGUAACUUCUGAGUAAAACAAACAAAUAAAUCA